rnacentral:rRNA from 1 species
CCUACGGGGUGCAGCAGUGGGGGAUAUUGCACAAUGGGGGAAACCCUGAUGCAGCGACGCCGCGUGGGCGAAGAAGUAUUUCGGUAUGUAAAGCCCUAUCAGCAGGGAAGAAGAAAUGACGGUACCUGAGUAAGAAGCACGGGCUAAAAACGUGCAAGCAGCCGCGGUAACACGUAGGGUGCAAGCGUUAUCCGGAUUUACGGGGUUUAAAGGGAGCGCAGGGGGCGCAGCAAGCCGGAGGUGAAAGCCCGCGGUCAAACCGGGGGACGGCAUUGGGAACUACCGGGAUGGAGGGCGGGGGGGGAGGCGGAAUUCCUAGUGUAGCGGUGAAAUGCGUAGAUAUUAGGAGGAACACCAGUGGCGAAGGCGGCCUACUGGACGGUGACUGACGCUGAGGCUCGAAAGCGUGGGGAGCAAACAGGAUUAGAUACCCGGGUAGUC